GAAGUCUUAGCUUAAUUAGAGCAUUUGAGUUGCAUUCAUAAGGUGUUGUUGUUUCAACAGACUUUC
rnacentral:tRNA from 1 species